UACGAAGGGAGCUAGCGUUGUUCGGAAUCACUGGGCGUAAAGGGUGCGUAGGCGGUUUAUUAAGUCAGUGGUGAAAGCCCGGAGCUCAACUUCGGAACUGCCAUUGAUACUGAUAGACUUGAGUACAGAUGAAGUGGGCGGAAUGUGACAAGUAGCGGUGAAAUGCUUAGAUAUGUCACAGAACACCGAUUGCGAAGGCAGCUCACUAAAGUGUAACUGACGCUGAGGCACGAAAGCGUGGGAAUCAAACAGG
rnacentral:rRNA from 1 species